UGGGGAAUAUUGCACAAUGGGCGGAAGCCUGAUGCAGCGACGCCGCGUGAGGGAUGACGGCCUUCGGGUUGUAAACCUCUUUCAGCAGGGAAGAAGCGAAAGUGACGGUACCUGCAGAAGAAGCGCCGGCUAACUACGUGCCAGCAGCCGCGGUAAUACGUAGGGGGCAAGCGUUGUCCGGAUUUAUUGGGCGUAAAGCGCACGCAGGCGGUCAGAUCAGUCUGGAGUGACAGUCGUCAGCUCAACUGACGAAGGACUUCGGAUACUGUCUGACUUGAGGGCUUCAGAGGGACACGGAAUUCCGGGUGGAGUGGUGAAAUGCGUAGAUAUCCGGAGGAACACCGAUGGCGAAGGCAGUGUCCUGGGAAGCAUCUGACGCUCAGGUGCGAAAGCUAGGGGAGCGAAC
rnacentral:rRNA from 1 species